AGGUCAUUUCAAAGAGGGCUUGUUGGGCAGUGAAACUGAAAGCUCUUAACGCUGUGACCAAAGAUCGAAGUUCUCCACAGAGCAGAACAGGCACUGGAUUACUGAGUGCUGUGUUUCUCUGAGAAGACACAUGC